GAUGAACGCUGGCGGCGUGCCUAAUACAUGCAAGUAGGACGCAGUUUCGAACGGGUGAGUAACGCGUAGGUAACUACCUAUUAGAGGGGGAUAACUCUUGGAAAAGAUAGCUAAUACCGCAUACUAGUAGCUGGACCUGCGUUGUAUUAGCUAGUAGGUAGGGUAAUGGCCUACCUAGGUAACGAUACAUAGCCGAACUGGGAGGGGGAUUGGCCAACACGGGACUGGGAAACGGGCCAGGAUCCUACGGUAGGCAACAGUAGGGAAUCUUCGGCAAAGGGGUGAAACCUGACCGAGCAACGCCGCGUGAGUGGAAAAGGUUUUCGGAUCGUAAAGCCCUGUUGUUAAGGAAGCGGUACUUAACCAGAAAGGGACGGCUAACUACGUGCCAGCAGCCGCGGUAAUAC
rnacentral:rRNA from 1 species